GCCAAAAUAGAGGUUUGAAAGCUCAAAAAUCUGCAGCAACUUAAAGCACUCAUAAGUAAGUGAUUUUAAUGAGUUUUCUUCAAGAUUUUUAUAUUUUUGAGACCCUUGGAGCAUGAGCUUUCAAAUGAGGGUGAUAUCUUACAAAAUAGUCAAGAGUUUAGGAUUUUUCCACGGAUUUAAUUGUGAUAUAUGCUGAGUUUUUAUGGAAGAAUAUGAGUCCUAGUUGUGUUAUAAACAACUUUUGUGAAAGGUGUUAGAAUGAAAACACCUAAAAGGACUAUUUUGCAUAAGUUGCAAAAUAGGUGGUUAGUGUGUAAAAUAGUGAGAAUUCGGGAUUUCCAUUGUAGUAAAAAGAGUUUAUCUAGGCUUUAAAUACGAAGAAAUUUGAUAAAAAUCGAUUUUUGAGCAUAGGGGUAAAAUGGUCAUUUUGCCAAGGCCUAGGGGCAAAAUGGUCAUUUUACCAAAGUUGUGAAAUUAUGAAUGCCUAAUUAUGUUUUGUGGCUAAAUGGAUGUAUAUUGUUAAUAUAGAUCAAGAUUUUCCAAAACCGAGCCUAGAUCAGGGUAAAGCCAAACAAUCCGAUUAAGCCGUCUAGUCAAGCACUUUUUGUAAACCGAGGUAAGUUGUAUGUAAAUAAUACAACUACACUGUUAAUACUUGUAUUCAUAUUGUCAUUAAAUUGAUAUUGUACGAGUUGUUAAAUUAUAAAUUGAGAAUGCCUUGUAAUAUUGAGAUAGUAGAAAUAUCCCGUUGAAACUUUAGGAUAUGAACUGGAUAUUUGUGCCAAGACAUUGGGUGAUUUGUGCGCCAGUGUAAGACAUGUCUGGGACAUGCUUCAGCCACAUUAUGAGAGCCAGCGUAAGACCAUGUCAGGGACAUGGCAUCGGCAUAGAGAUGAGUGCCAAAGUAAGACAUGUCUGGGACAUGCAUCGGCCUCGACAAAGAUAGCUAGUGUAAGACGUGUCUGGGACACGCAUCGGCUAGGAGUUAUGCUAGUGUAAGACAUGUCUGGGACAUGCAUCAGCACGCAUAUAUGAGAGCCAGUGUAAGACCAUGUCUGGGACAUGACAUCGGCAAUGUAUCCCAUGUUGAAGGUUCGUAGAAUAUCCAGUAGUAUUCCAAACGGUUCAAUGGUGAAAGUUAUAGUUCAAUUUUGAUAAAGAAAGGAUGAUCAUGUUACGAGUGUUACAGGUACCUAUAUGAUAGGCAUGAGUAAGGAGCUAAUUUAGAAAAUGAGACUCGAGUAGAUGAUAAUGAGUAAGUUAAGUUAUGUUUACCUUUAAGCUAUAAGCAUGAUGGUAAAUGGUGAGAUUGUUGUAUAUUUAUUUAUAUGCAACUUACUAAGCUUUAUGCUUACUCUCUUUUCUUUCCCUCUUAUUUCAGUAUCGCCAAGCUAGCUUAAGGGUCCUAUAAAGUCAGAGAUAUCGAUCACACUAUUAACCGCAACACUUGGUAUAGUUUGAUUUAUAUUUUUGAAGGUGGCAUGUAUAGGGCUAGACUAGGAUGUUGUAUUAAG
rnacentral:lncRNA from 1 species